CAUUUCCAGACACUCGAUGCCAAGAGGACUCAGACUGUGGAAAUUCCGUGCUCCCCGCCCUCACCAAGGUUAAAUGCCUCCCUCUCGGUUCAUCCUGAGAAAGAUGAGUUAAUCCUUUUUGGAGGUGAAUAUUUCAACGGCCAAAAAGUAAAGUAUAUAUUUUUUUCUUUUCUUCCCAUGUUGCAUGAGUAUCAUUUGACAGAAAGUUAACUUAAGGUAGUGACAUCAAAUAUGCGUUAGCCCCUUCACCCCCUUGUAUCACGCGCUUGAGCCGUCAGGGCUCAUGUGAGACGUCGCCAGGAUGGUCCAGGCCCUGGCAUGACUGUUGAUGACUUCAGUGGUCCUGGGGUCUCUAUUCCUGGGACUUAGGCUGAGGCCCAGCUCUGCCGUCAUCACUCUUGGCGGGCGCACCCCUCUUUGUGGUUGUCUGUGCUGUUCUUCCUCCCAGCGGGUUUCCAGGUUUCACACUCAGCUUUCAGGUUGUCUUAAACACGGAAAGUGCUGAUAAAUUUUAGGGCUAAUUUUUAUUUUUGAGCAGGCCAGUGAGACCUGUGUUUCACAAUUGUGUGUGAAACACAAAAGCAGGAGCUCACCUUCCCUGCAGCCCGGGAUGGGCCUUGGGGGUUUGACUGCAUUUGUCCAUCUUCGUCUCUCAGUUUUCGUGCAUUCAGAAACUAGGCUUGACUGGGUACAGUGGCUCCCAAAUGCCAGCACUUUGGGAGGCCGAGGUGGGCAGAUCACCUGAGGUCAGGAGUUUGAGAGCAGUCUGGCCAAUGUGGUGAAACCCAGUCUCUGCUAACGAUACAAAAAUUAGCUGGGCGUGGUGGCGGGCGCCUGUAGUCCCAGCUACUCGGAGGCUGAGGCAGAGAAUCGCUUGAACCUGGGAGGCGGAGGUUGCAGUGAGCAAAGAUUGUGCCAUUGCACUCCAUUGUGGGCAACAGCGAGACUUCAUCUCGAACAAAACAAAAACAAAAAAACUAGGCUGGAAUUAGGAGAAUGACCAGUCCUAAUAACAGCGAGGGCUUUCAGUACCUUCCAGAUUGAUGGGCCCGGUGGGCGUUCAGUCGUUUUCAUUGUGUCGUCAUCCCCAGGGGCCCCGGGGACCCAGCCCAUGGCCUCCCUGUGCUGGUGUGGUUUACAUUCCUUUAGCAUGUCACUUUCCCAGGGAAUUGUCAUGAUUAAGAUUGUUCUCACCACUUCCUUGGAAGCGUAUCAUUUGUGACACUGACAUUCUUCUUCCUUCCUGUAGACUUCUUUGUAUAACGAGCUCUAUGUCUACAAUAUCAGAAAGGACACCUGGACCAAAGUUGACAUCCCCAGUCCACCUCCGAGGCGCUGUGCUCACCAGGCGGUGGUGGUGCCUCAAGGUGGCGGACAGCUGUGGGUCUUUGGAGGGGAGUUUGCCUCUCCCAACGGAGAGCAGUUCUACCACUACAAGGAUCUCUGGGUCCUGCAUUUGGCCACCAAGACCUGGGAACAAGUCAAAUCAACAGGCGGUCCUUCGGGUCGGAGUGGACAUCGGAUGGUGGCCUGGAAGAGACAAUUGAUCCUUUUUGGUGGCUUCCAUGAAAGUACACGGGAUUACAUCUACUACAACGACGUGUAUGCCUUUAAUCUGGACACCUUCACAUGGAGCACGCUGUCCCCGUCAGGGACGGGGCCCACACCCAGAUCAGGCUGCCAGAUGUCCGUCACUCCCCAGGGCGGCAUCGUCGUCUAUGGGGGCUACUCGAAACAGAGAGUUAAGAAAGACGUAGACAAGGGCACACGGCACUCAGACAUGUUCCUGCUGAAGCCGGAGGACGGAAGAGAAGACAAGUGGGUUUGGACUCGGAUGAACCCUUCGGGGGUCAAGCCCACCCCACGGUCUGGCUUUUCCGUGGCCAUGGCCCCGAAUCACCAGACACUGUUCUUCGGGGGUGUCUGUGACGAGGAAGAGGAGGAGAGCCUGUCGGGCGAGUUCUUCAACGAUCUGUACUUCUACGACGCCACCAGGAACCGUUGGUUUGAGGGACAGCUGAAGGGACCCAAGUCUGAAAAGAAGAAACGCAGGCGGGGCAGAAAAGAGGAGCCCGAAGGUGGUAGCAAGCCAGCGUGUGGGGGAGCUGGCACCCAGGGGCCUGUGCAGGUGGUCAAGGAGGUGGUGGCCGAGGAUGGCACCGUGGUCACCAUUAAGCAGGUGCUCACCGCCCCAGGCUCGGUGGGGCAGCCCCGGUCUGAGGACGAAG
rnacentral:sRNA from 1 species